ensembl:lncRNA
CUUAUCAAGAAUCAACAAAUGGGACUUCAUAAAAUUGCAAAGUUUCUGUAAGGCAAAGAACACUGUCACUGGGACUAAAAGGCAACCAACAGACUGGGAAAAGAUCUUUACCAAUCCUACAUCUGAUAGAGGGCUUUGGAUAUAUCCAAUAUAUACAAAAAACUUAAGAAGUUAGACUCCAGAGAGCCAAAUAAUCCUAUUUUAAAAAUGGGGUACAGAGCUAAACAAAGAAUUCUCAACUGAGGAAUAAUGAAUGGCCAAGAAGCACCUAAAGAAAUGUUCAACAUCCUUAGUCAUCAGGGAAAUGCAAAUCAAAAAUAAUUCUGAGGUUCCACCUCACACCAGUCAGAAUGGCUAAGAUCAAAAACCUAGGUGACAGCAGAUGCUGGCGAGGAUGUGGAGAAAGAGGAACACUCCUCCAUUGUUGGUGGGAUUGCAAGCUGGUUCAACCAUUCUGGAAAUCAGUCUGGAGGUUCCUCAGAAAAUUGGACAUAGUACUUACCUGAGGCCUAGGUAUACAACUCCUGGACAUGUACCCAAAAGACGUUCCAACAUAUAACAAAGACACGUGCUCCGCUAUGUUCAUCACAGCCUUAUUUAUAAUAGCCAGAAUCUUCAAAGAACUCAGAUGCCCUUCACCAGAGUAAUGGAUACAGAAAAUGUGGUACAUCUACACAAUGGAGUACUACUCAGGAAACAGAAAGCUGUGGAUCUCAUCAAAACAGACAAACUCAGAGUUGAGCAGGGGAGGUUUCUGAGAACCUUGGCCACUGACCCAAAAAGAGGGAAGAAGAGAGCCUGACCAGCUACUGCCUUCCCUGCCAGACGGAGAAGCCUGGACAAGAAGUGUUCAGCACCUGACCACUGACAGGCCG